AGUGAACGCUGGCGGUAGGCCUAACACAUGCAAGUCGAACGGCAGCACAGUAAGAGCUUGCUCUUACGGGUGGCGAGUGGCGGACGGGUGAGGAAUACAUCGGAAUCUCCUUUUUCGUGGGGGAUAACGUAGGGAAACUUACGCUAAUACCGCAUACGACCUACGGGUGAAAGCAGGGGAUCUUCGGACCUUGCGCGAUUGAAUGAGCCGAUGUCGGAUUAGCUAGUUGGCGGGGUAAAGGCCCACCAAGGCGACGAUCCGUAGCUGGUCUGAGGGGAUGAUCAGCCACACUGGAACUGAGACACGGUCCAGACUCCUACGGGAGGCAGCAGUGGGGAAUAUUGGACAAUGGGCGCAAGCCUGAUCCAGCCAUACCGCGUGGGUGAAGAAGGCCUUCGGGUUGUAAAGCCCUUUUGUUGGGAAAGAAAAGCAGCAGGUUAAUACCCCGCUGUUCUGACGGUACCCAAAGAAUAAGCACCGGCUAACUUCGUG
rnacentral:rRNA from 1 species